UAACCACUCAAGCUCUCGCUUGGUAUUGGGGUUCGCGGUUUCGCGGCCCCUAAAAUCAGUGGCGGUGCCUAUCGGCUCUACGCGUAGUAAUACUUCUCGCGAUUGAGUCCGGUAGGUCUACUUGCCAGCAACCCCUAAUUUUUUUUUUUAA
rnacentral:misc_RNA from 1 species